GGUGGUGCCUCUCAUCUUGGUUUCAGGUCAGGGAAAAUGAAACUUAAAUCCUCAGCAUCACAAUAUCAUCAACUGAGGCAGCAGAGACAAACAGGACAAAGUAACAGACACCCUCUUCAUUGAGUUGAAUUGAGUUCAGGAUAAACAACAGAGGAAAAGUACAACAACAUGAUGACUUCAGCUCCUGAUAAGCCAGAUUGUGGGCCAAUGGUGGUUACUGUUGGAUUCUUGACGUUGGUCAUUGGAAUCGCUGUUGGAGUGAAACUGAAGGUGGCCACAGACCAGUUCAUUAAACAACAUCUAUGGAAGGUUUAUGUCUUUGUCACUGUUUUUAUUGUUGUUUCUAUCAUGGUGCUUCUGAACUUGAAGAAACAUGAAGUAUAGAGGGAUACUGAAGCCUGACUCCUACAAUUAGCAAACACUUCUCAGUCAGUCACACACAACUAUUAAAUGAAUGACUGAUUUGUACCUUGUUAUGUACAUUUGUUAUUACAUAGCAAUAAAAUACUUUUCCAAAAAUGCAUGUGUCCAUUGUUGAUGAAAGGUGCGGCCGACAUCCUAGCUGUUGAGAUUGUAACUGAAAGGACCCUGGUUUGAAUCCCCAACCCGACUAGGUGAAAAACCUGCCGAUGUGCCCUUGAGUAAGGCACCUUAUUCCUCCUGCAAGUCCCUCUGGAAAAGAACAUCUGCUAAAUGACUGAACUGUAAACAACAUUUGGAAAAAAAGUGAUUCAUAGUUGGUUAGAUGUAUUUGUCAUCCUAUUUUAAUGUGACCAAGAUCCCUUGCCAUCUCUGGCCAUCUGUGUGUGCUCGUACUUUGUCAAUGUUUGUGAAUUGUCAUUGUAAGUGUCUUUAUAGAUCGGUUGAACAUCGAUUUACUAUUAUGUUUUUGUAACCAAUUGCAUGUGUCUCUUCAACUCAUUUGUUUUUGCUCAUCAACAUGUCAGUAUCUUCUGGGCUGAUUAAACCAAAUAGUAAAUCAAAUUUUAA